GUAGUACUCCCUUCAUCUGGAAUUACUUGUCGCAGAAAUGAAUCUGUCUAGACACAUAUUUACUUUUAGAUAUAUCAAUUUCUAUCCAUUUUUACGACAAGUAAUUUGGGACGGAGGGAGUAGAUA
rnacentral:pre_miRNA from 1 species